GAUGAAGAACGUAGCGAAAUGCGAUAAGUAAUGUGAAUUGCAGAAUUCAGUGAAUCAUCGAAUCUUUGUACGCACAUUGCGCCCUCUGGUAUUCCGGGGGGCAUGCCUGUUCGAGCGUCAUUACAACCCUCAAGCUCUGCUUGGUAUUGGGCUCUGCCGGUCCUGGCAGGCCUCAAAGUCAGUGGCGGUGCCAUCCGGCUCCAAGCGUAGUAAUUCUUCUCGCUUCGGAGGCCGCGGUGCGUGCUAGCCAGCAACCCCCAAUUUUUUUCAGGUUGACCUCGGAUCAGGUAGGGAUACCCGCUGAACUUAAGCAUAUCAAUAAGCGGAGGA
rnacentral:misc_RNA from 1 species